rnacentral:lncRNA from 1 species
CCCACUUCUAGUUUUAAUUGAAAAAUUGUGGCUCAAAGCAGAAAUGAAAGAGUCAAAUUGUAGCCCAUUUACUAGAAAGAAGGUCAUGCUAGUUGUGAUGAUACAUUUUUAUUUAAAUACAAGAAAAACCUUUUGCUAAUUGCUUUCACAUAGCGCAGCUGUAAAUUUUUUUUUAUCUGUCUUGCUGCAGUUUGUGUCUCUGCAUUUCUUGUCUUGUUCUGAUUAUUGAAGAAUGUUUUUUCUUUACUUUUUGGAGCUCUACAGUGCUGGCAUUUAUCAAGUGAAGACACACAGCACAGCCUUGUAUAAAUAAUGGCACUGGGCCAAGUACAGCUGAGGUGGUUGCCAGCACAACUCCAUUGAAGUCAAAGGAAUUGCACCACGGGUGAGUUUGGCCCUAGGCUCAGGUCAUGGAGGACUUUAACAUGACAAUUUUCAGUAAUGCUUCAGCUGUUUGAGGUAGUUGAGUCUGGGUUUGCUUUUUGGUUGAGUACUGUAUUUUGUUUCAAAUAAAGGAGCUGAACUUCUGCUCAAUGGAGUGAAUAGGGCUUUUAUAAGUGGACUACUUCUGCAGUUUCUGUCCUCAAUCUGCUUUGCCUGACUUACGGAGAGGCAGCAGAGGUUUGGCGCCACAAAACAGCGUUGCUACCUUAAAGAUGACAUCAGCUCCCCUGGAUCCAGAGCUAUUGUGUGAAGGAAACAGGGCCAAAUGUGGAAAAGAAGGAAAUGAGCACAUUGUGUCUGAGUUAGCUUCCCAGGAUCAAAUGUCCCCCUGCAUGAACCUUUGCAUGUAUUUAUGAAAUAAUAUUUUUCUUUGACAGGGCACAAAUGAACUCAGCAGCUCAGUUAUUGCUAUGCCAGACCUUUAUAACAUGCUUUAUGUGCUUCUCAAUAUGAUUGUAUAUUUCCUGUCUCUAUACAAACCUCUCUAUGUGUAAGUGUCAAAACGUUAUUCUGCUGGUAUUGUGGCCAAUAUCAGCUGGAAUUUUGUCUUUUACUUUGAGGAAGAGGGGUCAAAUUCAUAUUUGUUACUGAGAAAUGUGCUUUCACGUAAUGUGAGACCCUGUGUAUCACUCAGUGUUCCUGUGAAAGAAGAAGCAUCUCCAAAAUCACACAUAGUCAAAGGCAAUAGAAAGACUCACUUUAUAAGGUUUGGUCUUUUCUACAUCCCACAGUGGAACUUUAUGUCUUUUCUGCUCUAAAAUCAUGUUACUAAAGGACACAUGUGAGACAGCAGGUCAAAUUGGAAGAAAUGCACCAUUUAGAUCU